rnacentral:lncRNA from 1 species
AAGGUCAAGUUGUCGGCAAGUCACCUCAGGACUUUUCUGGCUACUUUAUGGAAAUAAAAUCCUGAGGCUGGCCCGUUAGGGAACUACUAAAAUUGUCCAAAUAAGAAAUGAUAGAGUGUUGGAUCAAAAGGAUCAGAUUAAAUUCAAGGCUUCAGAGUUCUACAUCGUAUCCUACUUACAGCCCUAAAUACCUGUUAACUGCCACCCCCUGGACAGAUUAUUACAGUGACAACAGAAAUAUAAGUCACAUAAGGAGCUGCUGAAUGCACUCAAGACUCAACAAUCUCCAAAGAUACUGGAAGGCACGAAUGGAAAUCUGGACUCUGACAACUGUCCUUAGCAUGU